GACGAACCGAGCGGACGUUGUUCGGAAUCACUGGGCUUAAAGGGCGCGUAGGCGGGCUGUCAAGUCUGGGGUGAAAUCCCACGGCUCAACCGUGGAACUGCCUUAGAUACUGACGGCCUCGAGGGAGAUAGGGGCGAGCGGAACUGUGAGUGGAGCGGUGAAAUGCGUUGAUAUUCACAGGAACUCCGGUGGCGAAGGCGGCUCGCUGGAUCUUUUCUGACGCUGAGGCGCGAAAGCUAGGGGAGCAAACGGG
rnacentral:rRNA from 1 species